rnacentral:rRNA from 1 species
UGAGCCUUGAUGUGUAGGAUAGGUGGGAGGCUUGGAAGUGUGGACGCCAGUCUGCAUGGAGCCGACCUUGAAAUACCACCCUUUAAUGUUUGAUGUUCUAACGUUGACCCGUAAUCCGGGUUGCGGACAGUGUCUGGUGGGUAGUUUGACUGGGGCGGUCUCCUCCUAAAGAGUAACGGAGGAGCACGAAGGUUGGCUAAUCCUGGUCGGACAUCAGGAGGUUAGUGCAAUGGCAUAAGCCAGCUUGACUGCGAGCGUGACGGCGCGAGCAGGUGCGAAAGCAGGUCAUAGUGAUCCGGUGGUUCUGAAUGGAAGGGCCAUCGCUCAACGGAUAAAAGGUACUCCGGGGAUAACAGGCUGAUACCGCCCAAGAGUUCAUAUCGACGGCGGUGUUUGGCACCUCGAUGUCGGCUCAUCACAUCCUGGGGCUGAAGUAGGUCCCAAGGGUAUGGCUGUUCGCCAUUUAAAGUGGUACGCGAGCUGGGUUUAGAACGUCGUGAGACAGUUCGGUCCCUAUCUGCCGUGGGCGCUGGAGAACUGAGGGGGGCUGCUCCUAGUACGAGAGGACCGGAGUGGACGCAUCACUGGUGUUCGGGUUGUCAUGCCAAUGGCACUGCCC